ACUUUCGUUUUACAUGUACCAUUAUCGCAAAUAUGAAUGAUCAUUAUCUUAAGAUACAUCCAUCAGAGAUGGCAAAGAGACGAAGAGGUGGACCUAAAUUGGAGUAUUUUAUGUUUUAGUUCCUCAAGUUGAAGUUUUGCGUGAUCGAGGAAAUCGAGGAUAGAAUUGACUCCAGAACAAAUUCGCCUUACAGUUACACCACGGUAUUAACCUCAGGGGGACGGGUGUACGGGCUUGGAAUUGAUCCAUCUCAAGUUGAACGAAUUCAAAAAGAUAAAUUCUACAGAAUCCAUACCCCAUCCCCAAUCAAUGGAAUUUUUCAUUUGGAGGAGAAGACAAAGGUUAGUAAAAUCUAUGAUGAAGACAGAUGUCCAAAAAGAACUCUGAUUCUGAAGGAGACAAUGGAAGGCAGGCGACCAGCAACCAUGUUCGUAAGAUUAUGGAGGGAGAAGACAGAGAUAAAUCCUAAAGUGGGAUCCCUGGUUCAAGUUCUGUCGCUGAAGCUUACCGACUACAAGGACAGCAGAGAAAUCCACUCCACCCCCUCCACAGUGCUCCGAGAGGUGUCGGAGGAGCAGCCCCCCACACAGACAGACACACAGGCAGCCAGUCAAUAAACUCGCACCAAGUACCAGUUAAUCUCAUUUUCCUCACAGCGGUAUAAAGAAGAUAUAGACAUUUUUUCCCACUUCAUUAAUGUUACCCCUAUUUCUACAACUUUUUGCUAUUGAAUUUAUAGUUGUCACGCUCUGUAGAUCCCUUUCAAUGCGUUUGUCUGUCUGUAAGUAGAGGAUGCACAGUGCACGUAACCUUAAACCAGUUCUCUAGUUCAAAGGUCAAGAUUGAAAGACCUAACAGUGAAACAUAUACCAAUGACUGACUGUGUAUCUCUGAAAAAGGUGUGCAAUGUACUGUACUUUAACCAAAUUUUGACAAUCACAUGAUUUUAUUUGUCCAUAGAAAAUUUCCUUUCCCUUUGGCCAACUUAAGCUCAAAAUUCAACUAUACAUUACCAAUGGGUAAAGGAUUUUGCAUUGAUUUUUUGAGCCAGUUUAUUUUCUAGUUCAAAGUUAAAGGUAAAAAUGUUAAAUUCUUGUUAUAGAACUACAUCUGUAUCUUACAUCUCAAUUAAUGGCUUUUGCUUAAAGCAGGGCUUUUUCAGGUGGUCCCUGUAUCAUUAUCUGUUUAUUACUGUUGUUAUUUAGCUGCAUUUGUGAAUUUUUGUUUUAUUUAUUUCAUAAUAAUAAGAAUUAUAUACCUGUGCUUUAAUAAAUUGUAUACAUAUUUUUUAAUGCACUUGAAAUCUUACAUUUGUUUAAAUAUUGCUGAUAAAUGUUUAUUGCAUUCAC
rnacentral:misc_RNA from 1 species